rnacentral:rRNA from 1 species
GAUGAACGCUGGCGGCGUGCCUAAUACAUGCAAGUCGAGCGAAUGGAUUAAGAGCUUGCUCUUAUGAAGUUAGCGGCGGACGGGUGAGUAACACGUGGGUAACCUGCCAAUAAGACUGGGAUAACUCCGGGAAGCCGGGGCUAAUACCGGAUAACAUUUUGAACCGCAUGGUUCGAAAUUGAAAGGCGGCUUCGGCGGUCACUCAUGGAGGGACCCGCGUCGCAUUAGCCAGUUGGUGAGGUAACGGCUCACCAAGGCAACGAUGCGUAGCCGACCUGAGAGGGUGAUCGGCCACACUGGGACUGAAACACGGCCCAGACUCCUACGGGAGGCAGCAGUAGGGAAUCUUCCGCAAUGGACGAAAGUCUGACGGAGCAACGCCGCGUGAGUGAUGAAGGCUUUCGGGUCGUAAAACUCUGUUAUUAGGGAAGAACAAGUGCUAGUUGAAUAAGCUGGCACCUUGACGGUACCUAACCAGAAAGCCACGGCUAACUACGUGCCAGCCGCCGCCGUAA